CAGAUAUCUUUGGCUAACUUUGCUGAAGUACUGCAAGAUUUAGAUUUCUCUUCUGUUAAGUAGAGCACUUUCCUUCCAGGAUUAGUAAUGCUGUUGUUGAAACUCUGUAUCUUAGCAACAUCACUCACAGGGGAUAAUGUGUUGCCUCUGAGCUCAAGGUAGUUCCAGGAUUUAUUUUCGUAAAGCAUUAUAACAGAAUUGCUUUGAAAUUUGUCAAAAAUCGGUGAGUAUGUUUUGCAAAACUCUGCUUUAUCCUCGAGCAGAAGAAAUACCCUAAGAGGAGGAUCUCCCAGGCAGCCCUGCUGCAAGAGCAGCAGCAGCACCCAGAAGCCAUCACACUCCCACUGUGGUAACCUUUUCCUCAGUAGCGACUGCAGAUGCUUGACUACUCUCCAGUGUCGUCCUCUCAGCUCACAGCAUGGUCAUGGUCAGUUAAGAACCGGAGAUCUCAAAUCUAUUCCAAGUGGCAAGAAACAAACAGGAUAAAUCAAAAAGGGAACUAUCCAAACAUCACAUUUUACUCUAUACCGAAUAUCUCCCUCAAUCUAGUUUCUUGUGUACAGGAGGUCAUCUUAUGAGCUGUGAUCACAACCGUGGGCUGGACAGCUCUAAAGUACACUGCUCUGUAAUAUGGAAGUACAGUGCACAGAGAAGGACUGGUACAAUGAGAAAUGGAUCAGCCCAUUGGACUUCUGGGUAUUAUAUUUCUAUGCUGCCAAUUCUGUCCGCAAGAUCUAUUCUCUCUAGCAUAACCCUUUCAUUUCCUGAGGCAUACAGUAUGUCUCUUUGACUAACCAGGCCAAGUAUACUGUAACAAUGGGAAAUAUCAG